rnacentral:rRNA from 1 species
GAGUUUGAUCUUGGCUCAGAUUGAACGCUGGCGGCAUGCCUUACACAUGCAAGUCGAACGGCAGCACGGGAGCUUGCUCCUGGUGGCGAGUGGCGAACGGGUGAGUAAUGCAUCGGAACGUAUCCUGGAGUGGGGGAUAACGUAGCGAAAGUUACGCUAAUACCGCAUAUUCUGUGAGCAGGAAAGCGGGGGACCUUCGGGCCUCGCGCUCUUGGAGCGGCCGAUGUCGGAUUAGCUAGUUGGUGAGGUAAAGGCUCACCAAGGCGACGAUCCGUAGCAGGUCUGAGAGGAUGAUCUGCCACACUGGAACUGAGACACGGUCCAGACUCCUACGGGAGGCAGCAGUGGGGAAUUUUGGACAAUGGGGGCAACCCUGAUCCAGCCAUGCCGCGUGAGUGAAGAAGGGCC